AAUUAUUUUUCGUCAUCUCUCAUGUUACGUAAGAUACAAUGGACUUUAUAUACGAAAUCGAUACCACGAGACUGAGUGCUUUUCUGAAAUCGGAUGGCUGGUCGACUGGCAGUCCGGAUGGACCCGACUAAGCGAGAUUAGGUUCAUGAUCGAUCAUGAGCGCCGUGUAUGAACGUGGGUGAGGUAAGGAAGACCGAGAACAAGGGAGAGCAGCUGUUGCGUGGAAAUCAGCCGGAGCAGCCAGCGUUGGCUGCUGUUGCUGAGGUCGGUGCCCGUAGAAUGAACGAAGAGGUUCUCAAAUCAAACCAGAAUAUACGUACGUAUAUAAUUUAUACGUACCGGUGAGAACAGCACCGACCAGCAUGAAGAGGAAACCAAAAGCUGGCAGGGCGAUUUGACAGUUGGCAGCAAUGACAACACCGGCGACCAUAAGACCACCCUCGAUCUUUUCCACCCUUAGUCGUGAUAUCGGGGCUGGACAUUUUAACCUUCCUCCAAAUCCAUUGGCCAGCAUUCCUUCUUCGGCAGAGACUGUGCUGGGCCUGAAACGAAUAUAGGAGGGAUUAGCAAGAAGCGUGUAAAAUAUAUCCAAUUGAUUGUACUGACGUGAUACACCAAAGAUGCUAAAUUUGAUUUUGACCAUUAUUGCCUAUUUUUCAAAUUGCUAAAUGGCUACGGCCUGUAUAGAUUCAAAAUUCUCAUUAUCGACUCGACUCUAAAAUACGUCAUCAGACAGAAACUCGUCGCUUUAAAAAUAAGUUAGUGUAAACUCUCGGGGCAAACAAAUGAUUUCUACAGUAAAACGUUAGUACAAAUGAAAAAAAAAAAAAAAAAAAAAAAAAAAAAAAAAAAA